GCCAGCCCGCUCAGAAACUUAAAUGAAUUGACGGGACCCGCACAAGCGGUGGAUCAUGUUGUUUAAUUCGAUGAUACGCGAAGAACCUUACCAGGUCUUGACAUCCCCCGCGAUGCUUUAGAGAUAAAGCGGAGGUAUUCGGGAGACAGGUGGUGCAUGGUUGUCGUCAGCUCGUGUCGUGAGAUGUUGGGUUAAGUCCCGCAACGAGCGCAACCCCUAUUGCUAGUUACCAUCAUUAAGUUGGGGACUCUAGCGAGACUGCCAGUGAUAAACUGGAGGAAGGUGGGGAUGACGUCAAAUCAUCAUGCCCCUUAUGACCUGGGCUACAAACGUGAUACAAUGGCUGGAACAAAGGGAUGCGAAGCAGUGAUGUGGAGCGAAACCCAUAAAAACAGUCUCAGUUCGGAUUGAAGUCUGCAACUCGACUUCAUGAAGUCGGAAUCGCUAGUAAUCGCGGAUCAGAACGCCGCGGUGAAUACGUUCUCGGGGUUU
rnacentral:rRNA from 1 species